GUCACUUUUACUGGGCCUGUUAGCAUGUUGCUGCUGUGUUACAUGCGUAUCUCAGUGAUAUUUACCAAAUGCAAGUAAAACGCUUACGUUGACGGAUAGACGAGCUGGCACGAUCUUGAUGAACUGCAGCAGGCAUGACCCGAAGUGGCCCUGACUGCCAGGCGGGGCCCGAACGUCUCAACACAGCACAAUUGACGCCUCCCCACAAAACCCGGCAACGUACGCUCCAACUUCCAAAGUGCCAUCUCAACCGUCUCAAGUAGGACCCUGCCCCACAACACGACGGUACCGUCAACUCUCCGGUCUUUAAAAUGUCUCCGGUUCUGGGGUUGUUUGAUGAGUACGACGUCGGCUUACAAACCUCACAAGCCUUGAUCAAAAUUGUCAUGUUAUUGUUACUGCACCGCAAUGGUUGUUUUUAAUGAUUGCUAUUUAACGAUUUAGGAGUGAAAAGUGAAAAAUUUUAAUUAUUUCCUUUCUUUUUCUUGAUCAGUUAAAACAACAUUUCAAAUAUUGAACUACUUCAAUAGUUUAGAGCAGGCGUGUCAAACUAAUUUUUAUCACAGGCCUCAUUGUAGUUAUGGUUUCUGUCAGAGGGCCAUUAUGACUGUGAAACCAUAAACAACAAACAAAAUUUUUUAAUUGACCCCUCAUAUUUACACAUAUUUAUGAACUAGUUUUUGGAACCAGAAAUCAAGGGUAAUGGGAUUUUCGACUAUUGCUGAUGUUUGGGAACACAAAAAUGAUUGCAAGAUCUCUGUUAUCAUUUAUGGUGACAAUUUGAAAUUUUGGCAGAGAUUUGAACAAAAAUCAUGGAAGUUGAUAAACAUGAUUUGCCUUCACAGGCCACAUAAAAAUCACGUGGCGGGCCGGAUCGGGCCCCUGGGCCUUGAGUUCGACAUCUGUGCUUGAGAGUAACAGUGAUUUAUGUUCGUUACGGUAAGGUUAGUAUACUGUACAUUACUUUGGAGUAGUAUUUGCACACGUUCAUUUGGUUAGCUCACAAGUUCAGGAUACCACAUCGGUGAAGGUUAGUACAUUAUUGUAUACAGGAUUUCAAACAUUUACCGUAAUUUCCGACCUACAAGCCGCGACUUUUUUCACAGGCUUUCAACCCCGCGGUUUAUGGGGUGAUGCGGAUAAUUUCUACAUUUUUUUCUAAGGGCCGCAAGAGGGCACUUGAGCGGAAAAGGUAAGAACGUGAUCGGUGGAAUAUAUGUGCCAAGGACCGAGCCCUGUUAGCCCUGUGCUUGCGUUAGCGCUGUGCUAGCGUGUUGCUGCUGUGUUACUGGCAUGUCUCAGUACGGAAGCGUAUUACUGCCACACCAAAAAGAAAAAAAGUCACGUAAUUAUGUGAAAUGUUACACAUAAUUAUGUGAAACGUUACACACAAUUAUUAUUAUUUAUUUAAAUUUUUUUGGGGGGGGGGGGGUGGUAGUAAUACGCUUGCGUAGGAUCUCUGGUGAUACCGGACGUUAUUACCACGUUGCUCAAUGGCGGCCAGAGCAGUGAGUUUCAUCACAUCUCCCCCUAUCUGAGAUAAAUAUGCUGGGCUCAAGUCUCACCUCCUCAAGGUUUUCGAGCGAACCUGACGUCUUUUGGCUAUUAAUGGACUAGGAGACAGCAAACCUUCCGAACUCAUGGAAAUGAUGCUAAACCUGCUGGGAUGAACUUUUUAGCACCAUUCCUGCCAUUCAUCCUUUCUUCCUGCCUUGCACCCUUUUGUCUCUUUUCUUCAUUUCACACUUUUUGUUCCCAUCAUCCUUUCCUUCUUUUUCCAUGCCUUAUCUUCUCUUCUAUCCUUUUUCAUCUCCAUCCUUCCUACCUACCUUCCAUGCUUGCACCCCUUUCCUUCAAUUUAGUCAGCCUCCUUUUUUCAUUCAUUUGACACUUCAUUCUUUCCAUCCUUUUAUUUUAGUUCAGACUUCCACCCUUCAUUUCUUCCAUCCCUUUUCCCCCAUCAUCCUUUCCUUCUUUUUCAUGCCUUAUCCUUCAGUCUUUCCUUCCCCAUCCUUCUCUUCCUUCCCAUCCCAUUUUCCCCCAUCAUCCUUUCCAUAUCUUCUCUUCCAUCCUUCAUUUCCCAAUCAUCCUUUCCUUCUCUUCCAUACCCAUCCCCCAUCAUCCUUUCCUUCUUUGUCAUGCCUUAUGUUCUCUUCCAUCCCAUCCCUUAUUCCCCAUAAUCCUUUGCUUCUUCAUCCUUUUUCCCCCAUCGUCAACAGGAAUUGGAUCACAACUAGGGAGUGUACAAUCAAUGAUGCAUGUUGUGGAGGUCACCUGCAAACUCCCCACAGGGAUCAAACCGGGUCCUCAAAAUCCUGAGGCCAACGCUUUACCAACUGGGCUAACGUGCCAUCCCUAUCUCUCAGCCUUUCUGCUCUACUUCAACGUUCGGAACUUCAAAAUGUUGUCGUGUACAUUGGGAACUCAGCCCCCAACAAACAAAUCAACAAAAACAAAACUUUCUAAUCUUUCUGUCACACUGGUGUGAAGAAUUUACGUCGCACACACGCACACAAGCAGCACGUGACGUCACGCAUGGUCACGAUCGCCGACAGGAAUGUUUCUUUCCAAUGUAUCGCUAGCUUGUUGCCACGAACGCCCGAUUAUGUUGAACUAAACUUUCAGCAUUUUCAAAACAUUGCGAGUGCGGUGGUCUACAUAAUUCACCCACGGGACCUCGAGUGAGGGUAAGAGGUUUUGUUGUUACACUUCCGGUGUUAGAGAGUUCCCGCCAUUACGGGUUCACUCUGUCGUUGUCUGCAAUAAAGCGAGGUUUGGUCUCGUGUUCAACUUUCCGCCUCCGAAUAAUUAUGUGUCA